ensembl:misc_RNA Metazoa_SRP Metazoan signal recognition particle RNA
GCUGGGCACAGUGGAGCGUCCCUGUGGUCCCAGCUACUCAGGAGGCUGAGGCUGGAGGAUUGCUUGAGUCCAGGAGUUCUGGGUUGUAGUGCGCCAUGCCGAUCGGGUGUCUGCACUAAGUUUGGCAUCAAUAUGGUGACCUCCCGGGAGUGGGGGACCACCAGGUUGCCUAAGCAGGGGUGAAACGGCCCAGGUGGGAAAUGGAGCAGGUCAAAACUCCCAUGCUGAUCAGUAGUGGGAUCGUGCCUGUGAAUAGCCACUGUACUCCAGCCUGGGCAACAUAGUGAGACCCUGUCUCU